rnacentral:lncRNA from 1 species
GAUAAAGAGUGGCAAGAGCUCAAGCUUGGGGAUGCCCAAGGCACCCCAAGUUGAUUCAAGGAUGCCGUAAAAGCCUAAGCUUGGGGAUGCCCCGAGAAGGCAUCCCCUCUUUCGUCUUCAAUCCAUCGGUAACGUUACUUGGGGAUAUAUUUUUAUUCACCACAUGUUAUGUGUUUUGCUUGGAGCGUCUUGUAUCAUAGGAGUCUUUUAUUUUUGUUGUGUCACAAUCUUCCUUGCUGAACACCUAGAGAGAGAGACAUGCACUCACCAUGAUUUUGUCGAGCUUCACUUAUAUGCUUUGGUUAGAACAUUUCAGCUCACAUGUGCUUCACUUAUAUCUUUUGAGCUAGUUGAUUUUGCUCUGUGUGCUUCACUUAUAUCUUUUAGAGCACGGAAGCGCGUGGCUUGGUAGUUAAUCUAUGCUAUGAUAGUAGUCUCAAAAGAGGUAGUUAUCCAAAGGGAUAUGAAAACUUCCACCUUCAUGUGCAUUGAGUAGUUGGAGAAGUUUGAUUUAUCUCAAUUAGUUUUGAGUUGUGGUUGUGGUAAUAUUGAAGUUAUACUAGUAAGGUGUUGUGGAUCUAGAAAUACUUGUGUUGAAGUUAGUGAUUCCCGUAGCAUGCAUGUAUGGUGAACCGCUAUGUGAUGAAGUCUGAGCAUGAUUAGUCUAUUGAUUGUCAUCCUUUGUGUGGCGGUCGGGGUCGCGCGAUGGUUUAUACCUACCAACCCUUCCCCUAGGAGUAUGCGUUGAAUGCUUUGUUUCGAUUACUACUAAAACUUUUGCAACAAGCAUAUGAGUUCUUCAUGACUAAUGCUGGGUCCAUGGUUUAGAUGCACUUUCACCUUCCACCAUCACUAUCUUCUUUAGUGCCGUGCAACUUUCGCCGGUGCACAAAACCAACCAUAUAGC